CUCCUACAUUCUUUUUAAGCUCUCACCAACUGUAACCUCUUAUUUCUACACUUUUUCCCUCUGUAGUCAACCAAUUUGGCCUCAGGUCAAUUAAGCGUUAAUUUUUUUUUUUUUUUUAAUGCUAGAGAUAGAGAGGCUGAGGGGAAUGAAAAGGAUCCAGUGGCAAUCAAGAUAAAUGGCUCCACAGUUUCAGCCCUUCUGAAAUUGAUUUCCCAUUUAAGAGAUGCUUUUGACUCUGGUCCAGACCAAAACAAAGCAAGGUCACAAUUUUUUGAGGGUCACAAUGUAGUGAAGCCUGGGAUUUAUUGGGAAAAUCCUUCAUGAUGAGAUUUCCAGUUUAUAUUUCCAGGUGUGGAAAGUGUUUUCCCAGAAGUUUAAUGACAGAGCCAACAGGAUAGGUGCUUUCCUGAUUCAAACAGAGAGAAAACCUAUGACUCACAUGGAUGAGUCUUAAUGAGUGAGCUUGGCUACAGGAUUGUGCAUCUCCUGGGAACUUCAGAACUUGGAAAAGAAGCUAAUCCUAAAGAAAGGGGGUGAAACCAUUUAUGAAAAACUCUAGUGAUGAUUUAGCAGCGAAUGAG